AUAGAGUAGCGAAGUCCGCGAUGUUCGGAGGCGAGAAAAGCUCUGAGGUAUGCUAAGGUGCCCGUACCGCAAACCGACACAGGUAGAUGAGGAGAAAAUCCUAAGGCCAACGGGAGAAGGGUUGUUAAGGAACUCGGCAAAUUGACCCCGUAACUUCGGAAGAAGGGGAGCCCCCUACGGGGGGUCGCAGAGAAAUGGCCCAAGCAACUGUUUACCAAAACACAGGUCUAUGCUAAAUCGAAAGAUGACGUAUAUGGGCUGACGCCUGCCCGGUGCCGGAAGGUUAAGAGGAGAUGUCAGGCAACGAAGCAUCGAAUUUAAGCCCCGGUAAACGGCGGCCGUAACAAUAACGGUCCUAAGGUAGCGAAAUUCCUUGUCAGGUAAGUUCUGACCCGCACGAAUGGCGUAAUGAUUUGGGCACUGUCUCAACAGCCCGCCCGGCGAAAUUGUAGUACUGGUGAAGAUGCCAGUUACCCGCAACUAGACGGAAAGACCCCAUGGAGCUUUACUGCAGCUUAAUACAGAAAUUCGGUAGUACGUGUACAGGAUAGGUGGGAGACUGAGAAAUACAGGCGUCAGCUUGUAUGGAGUCGCUGUUGGGAUACCACUCUUGUACUGCUGGGUUUCUAACCUGCGGCCGUGAAUCCGGUCGGGGGACACUGUUAGGCGGGCAGUUUGACUGGGGCGGUCGCCUCCCAAAAGGUAACGGAGGCGCUCAAAGGUUCGUUCAGCACGGACGGAAAUCGUGCAAUGAGUGUAAACGCAUAAACGAGCCUAACUGCGACACCGACGGGUGGAGCAGUAACGAAAGUUGGAGUUAGUGAUCCGGUGGUAUGUGAGUGGAAAUGCCAUCGCUCAACGGAUAAAAGCUACCCUGGGAUAACAGGCUGAUCUCCCCCAAGCGUCCACAGCGACGGGGAGGUUUGGCACCUCGAUGUCGGCUCGUCGCAUCCUGGGGCUGAAUUCGGUCCCAAGGGUUUGGCUGUUCGCCAAUUAAAGCGGCACGCGAGCUGGGUUCAGAACGUCGUGAGACAGUUCGGUCCCUAUCUGUUGCGGGCGUAAGAGAUUUGAAGGGAGCUGUCCUUAGUACGAGAGGACCGGGAUGGACGUACCUCUGGUGCACCAGUUGUCCUGCCAAGGGCAUAGCUGGGUAGCUAUGUACGGACGAGAUAAACGCUGAAAGCAUCUAAGCGUGAAACUCCCCCUAAGAUGAGAUCUCUCAUCCUUCAAGGAGUAAGGACCCAGAAAGACGAUCUGGUUGAUAGGCCGAAGGUGGAAGCGCAGUAAUGUGUGCAGCUGAUCGGUACUAAUAGUCCGAGGGCUUGAC
rnacentral:rRNA from 1 species